CCGCAGGAUGAAGGAAGGCAUGUCCAGUAGCAGCACCACCAGCAUCUCCCAGGCCAGGAAGGCUGUGGAGCAACUGAAGAUGGAAGCCUGCAUGGACCGGGUGAAGCUCAGCAGAUGGUGAGAAGACACCAGAUCACAGGAGGUUUUUAUGGAGGACCAGAACGAUGCUCCCUGCCCCGCCCCAUGUUUUGGCUUUGUCUCCUGGGCAGAACACCACGCUGCCCUCCCCAGGGCGCACGGCCAGAAGGGCAGUGGAGGAUAAGCUGUGUGUCUGCCCAGUUGCAGUGUUUCUGGAGAAAUAUUGCUGGAGCACCUAUAAAGUGCCGGUCCUGCCCCAGGUCCUGGGCUGUAUCUGUGAACAGAAUGGAAUGGGGGAAGUACCGACUCUAUGUGGGUAGUAAGACAUAAAACUAUAAACAAAAUCAAUAAGCGAACUGGACAGUAUGCUGGAGGGUGAUGGUGACGCAGAAUAGUGUGAUGGAGGUUGGGGGCCGUGCAGAUUUUGGUGGAAUAAACAGGGAAGGCUUCACCGAGAAGGUAACAUUUAGCCGACUGGAAGGAGGAGGAGUGAGUCGUGAAGAAUCUGGAGGAAGAACAGAAGGAACAAACAGUGUAAGCAUCCUGAGGCCAGACUGUCAUAUUCAAGGGAUGGCAGAGAGGCCAGUACGGCUCUGGAACCAAGUGAAGGAGGGGCAGGGUAGUAGGGUGUGAGGUUGGAGAGUACAGGGCUCCAGGUAGCACAGGGCCUCUAGGGACUUUGGUUUCCCUGGAGUGAACUGAGAGCCAUUGCAGGGUUUUAGGUUGAGAAAUGCCAUAGUCUGAUUUACGUGUUAAUGCGGUCACGGCCUUAGGUCAGGUUUCUGGGGAAGCAGAUUCUGAACUCAGGUGUGUACAGGAGGUUUCCUGGGGACACCUGGGAGGGAGUGAAGGAAACAGAAUUUUA